UUUCUCUUUUCCUUUCUCACCUUUUUUUUUCUUUUUGCUUUCUAAAGUUGAAUAAUAUUUAGAUCAAUAAUAUUUGUAAAAAAAAUAUAUAUUAAUAAACAUUCCAGGAACCAAAGAAAAAAAAAAGCCCGAAAAGUGUGAACGGUGACAGGAACCAGUAAACUUCAUACGACACCAUGGUAUCAAACCGGCAGCAAGACCAGAGACUCCAAAAACGAACUGGGUAUGAAAUGAAUAUUCCUUUUUCAAAUAUUAAAAAUGAGCAAAUCAUGGUGUUUAGAUGCAAAUUAUAUCAGCAUGUGUAAUCAAUCCAAUGCAAUAUCAACCUAAUGAAUGGAAAAUAUCAUGCAAUUAGUCUACAACCAAAACUUAUUAAACUUCAGUCCUUUCAGAAGUCGACAAGGUAAGUGCAAACCAGUCAGAUGAGUUUGACGUGCAUAGCAUGUGAAAUUCAAUUUGUCCCUAUUUUACCAGACAUUACAGAGUCAUCUCCAGUCCUCCAGUAACUUCUGUUUUCAGGGUGAUUACCCAACAAACCCAGAUACAGAUAUAAGCAUUAGACUAGAAACCCGUCACUUCAGCCGUACUAUCAAAAUCUGGUAACUAAAUCCAAGCAACUCAAUCGACAAAACGGAAACAAACUAACAUCCAAUUUAAAACAGGAAGCCACUAAAAACUCAUCUAAAAGAGAAGUUGUAGAACAAUUCACGUGACCAGAUUAAAAAACACAAAAAGCCCCAAAUCGGGUUAGGCAAAAGAAGAAAACCCGGGAAACCUAAAAGUUGAGAAUUAAAAAAGAGAUAACAAAAAACAACUUAAAAGGGUUUGAAAAUUCAUGAACAAGGAAGUGAUGAGAAGAAAGUAGGGUUUGGAAAUCGGAAAUUCACCUGGAAAUUGGGAAUUGCGGAAGGGGUAGGUUAAAUUGUGACCCCCAAAAUCCCAGUUGCUUCAGCUGCAACAAAGUGAGGAGAGUGUGUGUGUGCUUUGUUGCAGUUAAUUCGUCGUCGUCUUUCUUCUUCUUCUUCUGGUUGAUUUCUAAGAGGGGACAGAGGAAGCUCGGAAUCCAAUAAGAGCAUAUUUGUGUUUCAUCUCAUAGUAACCUUUUCUUAAUUUAUUAGAUUUUUGGAUUCUGGCCGCGUGUAUGAGCGACGAUGAGAAAGGGGGGGAGGGGCAGUUCGGGCAGGGAAAUGCGGUGACCAAAAUGAUGAGGUGGCCAAUUUAGACAAGUAACUUAGCGGGGUCCAGAAGUGAGUGGUGGAUGCCAUCCAUGGUUCCUUGUAGGCCCAUCCAUGGCUCCUUGUAGACCCACCCAGACCCACCCUGACCCACCCCCCCUGCCUCCUCCUGGAUCCCACCCAUUACAUGUGUCUUCCUUCCCUCCUAAAAUCAUCCAAUCUAAUUAAAUCUAAUUAAAUCUAAUUAUUAUUCUUCCUCAAUUUUCAUAUUUUACUUUUUCUUAUUAUUAUUUUUUUUUAACUUUGUUAUUUUUUACAUUUUUUUUUAUAUAUUUUGUAAUUUUUGAUAGUGACCCAAGUAAUCUUGCUUUAAAAAACUACAAAUUAUUUCUAUUUUGAACAAAUAAAUAAUACUUUUUUAAAAUUUAAAAAUCUGGAAAAUAUAUUUGACAUAUUGUGUAAUUAUAUAUAUAUAUAUAAAAAAAAAGUCAGAGCAAACUUUCUUGGUAAUAGUUGACAUGACUUUGUUUUUGUGAUGUUCUAAUAUUUAAUCCAAAUCAUCUAAAUUGUACGAACAAAAACAACAUUAUUAAAAUUAGUCCGUAUAUUUUAAAUUUAAUAGCAAUAUAGUUUGUGUUAAUAUGGUAUGCAUAUAUUGUUGUACACAAAAGCAACAACCAAACUAGAUGAAUAUAUAGAUUGGUGGUAAGAUUGUUAAAAGUAUAAGAACUAACAAAGUGUACAAAUAAAACGUGGAGAUAAAGACGAUAUUUUAACUUUAUCGUCCUUUCAAUUACAAAACUCGUGUUUUUGUUUAUUUUUUAUUGUCAUAUCCUACGUGUUUAUAAAUUUACUGUCAAAUUUAAAAACAAAUUAUGUUUUUUUAACUUAAUGUAUCAAAAUAAUUACUAAAUGUUGCAAAAAGUUUAGAUUUUUAUGGAUGAUAUAUAUAUCUACAAGGCUUAAAAGGUAACAUGGAAUAUAUGAAGUUGAGAAUUGAGAUAUAAGGCAAUGAAAUAUAUUUUCCAAAAUUGAAAAACCUAUUUUUCAUUUAAAGUUUAAUAACCAUGCAUGUAAUUAAUUUAUUAUCAAACUGGUUAAAUUGCCACUUCUCACACUAAAAAAAAUCAAAUCAUAAAAUAUUUUAUAAAAAAUAAUGUUACAUAUCCACUAGAUAUAUAUUUCCAAUAUUUGAAAACAUAGGCUCAAUAAUUGAUAAGAUUUAAAUUUAAAUUGAAUAAAACGUUUAGUUUUACUAAAAUAUUGCUUUAGAAACGUUAUGAAUUGUGAAGCAUGGAGUCUAGAAAUUCAUGUUUGAGGCUUAGAUCUAUAAUCCACAGCUUGUCCACAAAUGUGAAAAAGAAAGAGAAUUUAUGAAGUUAAAUGGUUUAACUAAGUUAGGGAUGUUCAUGUGUCGUCUUAAUGUGGUGCCAAAUCAGUCCAUCGCAAUCUCAUUUUGAUUGUUAAGAGAAAACUAAGUCCGUACUAGGCUACCAUAAAUGUGUUCAUCCAUAAUUGGCAGUAAUACAAAAGUUAUAUUUUGUUCUCUUCACAAUUGGUUGCCCAUAGAGUGAUAGAAAUUGAUACUCAAACAGUUCUCCAAGAAGUUUAUCGACCAAUAAUUUGACACCAACUCCCAUCGAUACACUAAUUUUGUAAUUUAAUAUACGAUUAAUGAAUGGGAGUAGGCCUAAUCAUGUGAAUGGGGGGUUUAAAGUAAAUUGUUAGAGCAGCCAAAAGCCAAACACGUCCCUUGCCAGUCUCCAAAGGGUCACAACUAGACGCGAGCUUGAUCUAAUUCCUUCCCUUUGCUGACUUACUUCACUUCUGGGUAUGAUCCACCAUUUCCUAUAAGAAGCACUCAUCUUCGACAACUUUAAAAUCGCUUUCUUCCUCAUAAACAGCCUCUGCAAUUUGGAAAUGGCCCACUCCACCUUUUCUCAGGUUGACUUUCACUAUCUCUUCUUCCUCUUCUUCUUCCCUGCGUUUGAACUGUGGGAAAUGGUGCUGAUUUCUUAUGUUUUUUUAAUGGGUCUCGUCUGUUUUUGUUUUUCUUUUAUGGGUUUUCGAUUUAGUCUCGAAAUUUUUCUCCCCCCCCUGAGCUGUGGUUUGAUUAAUAAGUUUCGCGGGGUUUUAGGGUUACUUUUUGAUUCAUCUUUAUAUUUGUUAAACCUCACGCGCCGUUGUGGAAUUCUUGCAGGUUGCUGUUGCUGUUCCAGUUGGAAGUGAUUUGUCUGUUAAGAGAUCAGUGUUCAAGGUUCUAAAUUCUGAAUGUUUUUUCCCAUCCAUCCCUUAGUUUCUAUUAUACUUGCGAGUACAUAGGAAAGGAACACCAGAUUUCUGGCAUUUCAGGACUUGCAGUUAUAGUUUUUAUGCGUAUUGUUAUACUUAUGUUAUGAAAACGAUAGCAAUUAACAAAUUAGAGUAACCUACACAUAGAUCACACUCAUAUGAGUAUUGAGUAUUAAGUAUUGUCAAGUGAACACACUUCAACAAUCUGUCAUAAAGUAACAGUCGUCCCCACGAGUUUCGUAAGACUCUCACUUAAUUUGAGAUAUUGUGGGAUAGUCUAUAUUUAUUAUUGGAUCUGCUGGUUCUAAAAGCAGUCAUCGGAUGGCUUUUUGUCUGCAUUUUACAUUUUGUUUAGUGUGUAAAUCUCAUCAUAACUUCCUGUGUCAUUGUGACAGACAAGAAGCCUAAACUUCCAUGAUAAGUCAUGGUCGUCACCUGUGAUAGCCCUGAACUCGAACCUGAGGGGCACUCGGGCAAGAGGUUGGCAAACAGUAUGCAUGUCAGUGCAGCAAGCAAGUGCACCAAAGGUAUCUGUUGCACCUCUAGACCUUGAGGAUGCUAAAGAGCCUCCAUUGAAUUUAUACAAACCAAAAGAACCGUAUACUGCAACUAUUGUUUCUGUUGAAAGACUUGUUGGUCCAAAAGCACCGGGAGAGACUUGUCAUAUUGUUAUCGAUCAUGGUGGCAAUGUCCCCUAUUGGGAAGGUCAGAGCUAUGGUGUUAUUCCUCCAGUAAGUCUUUCAUGCCUUGGUCAUUCCCUUGUUACUGCAUUGUGUUUUGAUUUGGUUGCUCAUGCUAAGAUGUUUGGUAGUCGUGCAUUUUAUAAAAAUUCCAUAUUGGUUCUAUAGGUCCUGUUUCAAUUAUUUUUUUAUAAAUUUUAGCUUUUAUGAAUUUUACCACACUGUCUCUUUUAUUGCUAAAAUUCGUAGAGUAUCUUUACCUUCCUCUGUGACCUCUGACACGUCUUUGUUUGUGGACUUUUAAGCUUCAGCAAAAAUCUAAUAAGUUCUCACUUUUAUUGCAGGGUGAAAACCCAAAGAAACCUGGGAAUCCACACAAUGUUCGUCUCUACUCCAUUGCAUCAACUAGGUACGGAGAUUCUUUUGAUGGCAACACUGCUAGUUUAUGUGUUCGCCGGGCCGUUUAUUAUGACCCUGAAACUGGAAAGGAGGAUCCUUCAAAGAACGGAAUAUGCAGCAACUAUUUAUGCAACUCAAAGCCUGGAGAUAAAGUUCUGAUCACAGGUAACUCAUUGCCUAUUGUCCAAAAAGUGAGAUCUAAUUGCAAUGCUCUUUAUAUUUCCCUGCCCGAGUACCAAGAUAAACAAGUUAACUAGUACAUAUGCAUGUUUAGUAAUUGAUUUUGUUCUAUUAAGGCUUUAAGAUCAUGAGUUAAUUGUUUGAAUCAACAUAAUAGAUGAAGAUUCAUAUCACGAUUCAUCUUUUCUCAAGGAAUAUACAUUGAAGUUUUGAUCAUCCUACAUAGCACAUCGGUCUAUGUUGUCUGCUGCUAGCAGGUUUUCGAUGAUAACUGAUUGGAAUUUUACUGUUGAUGGGCUAGUGGAUUGCAACAACUGGCCAAAAUUUCUGUUAUUUAAUGUCUUCAUAUGUAAUGAUAGUUCACUGACGGAGACUAUAAAGGAAAGCCAUGGAUAUAACAAACAAGUGAGUAAGAGAAGAAUCGUAUGUAGUAAAAGUUAUUUUUCCGUCCUUUUGAAUGGCUGUGUAAUUAUGCUCAAGUCUAGGAAAAUAAAAGAAAGGUCAAGCUAUAAGUAUAGUCCUUGAACUUUAGACACAAUCGAAUGCUUAAGGACUUUUUUUUUCCUUUCUAAUUUUUCUUUAAUAAGAAACAUAUCUUAUUGAUGUAUGAAAAUUACCUUAGAAGGGCGUAACCCAAACCAAAGAAGUUGGUUUUAAAAUUUCAAGGACUUGUUGACUUGAAAUAGAAAAUUUCAAGGGCAUUCAAGUUCCACAGAUGUGCAGGAUGUCAAUUUUUGUGCUUUCGUCUGAAAGUUUGUUGAUUUAUUUACAAGCUAUGGUAUCAAUCCUUUUCAUUCUCUUUCUAUGGAGUGAUCAAAUUGAAAUCGUGUCUUUUCGCUGUUAGUAAAAGAAGAUCAUCUAUUUUUCCAGGUCCAUCUGGCAAGAUAAUGCUUCUUCCUGAAGACAACCCAAAUGCCACCCACAUAAUGAUUGCUACUGGCACCGGUGUCGCUCCAUUCAGAGGUUAUCUCCGUCGAAUGUUCAUGGAGUCUGUACCGACAUUCAAAUUUGGUGGCCUUGCUUGGCUUUUUCUAGGAGUGGCAAACACUGAUAGUCUUUUAUACGACGAUGAAUUCAGCAAGUAUCUUAAGGACUAUCCAGAUAACUUCCGUUACGAUCGAGCUCUUAGCAGGGAGCAAAAGAACAGGAAUGGAGGAAAAAUGUAUGUCCAGGACAAGAUCGAGGAGUACAGCGAUGAGAUCUUUAAACUCUUGGAUGGCGGGGCUCACAUAUACUUCUGCGGAUUGAAAGGGAUGAUGCCAGGAAUUCAGGACACACUGAAAAAGGUUGCAGAGCAAAGGGGUGAGAAAUGGGAAGAGAAACUUUCACAGCUUAAAAAGAACAAACAGUGGCAUGUUGAAGUUUACUGAAGUGUAGUUGCAUAGAAACGUGUGCAUUGAUGUCUGUUUAGAAGAUGUAGCAGCACAUGAUCUCUUGUUCUGUGUUACUCCUUGCAUUGCUCAUCUUUCAGUUUCAUAGCUUAAGAUUACGAAUAAGGUGGCCUCCGUUAUUGAUACUCAGAUUUGUGUUUAAUUGAACUACAGGAACUUGCUUAGAUUUUUUUUUCCCCUCUUGCGUAAGGAACCCAUUUAGCACCUUAAUCUGUGAGUAUUGAUGCUUGGAAAUGGAAUAAACUUCAUUUUAAAAUCC
rnacentral:lncRNA from 1 species